AACGUAGGAGACAAACGUUAUCCGGAGUUACUGGGCGUAAAGGGCGUGUAGGCGGUUAGUUAAGUCUGGCGUGAAAGCUCUCGGCUAAACCGGGAGAGGUCGUUGGAUACUGGCAAACUAGAGGACGGUAGAGGCGUGUGGAAUUCCGGGUGUAGUGGUGAAAUGCGUAGAGAUCCGGAGGAACACCAGUGGCGAAGGCGACACGCUGGGCCGUACCUGACGCUAAAGCGCGACAGCAUGGGGAGCAAACGGG
rnacentral:rRNA from 1 species